rnacentral:rRNA from 1 species
GCCUGUCCGAGCGUCAUUUCUGCCCUCAAGCACGGCUUGUGUGUUGGGUGUGGUCCCCCCGGGGACCUGCCCGAAAGGCAGCGGCGACGUCCGUCUGGUCCUCGAGCGUAUGGGGCUCUGUCACUCGCUCGGGAAGGACCUGCGGGGGUUGGUCACCACCACAUUUUCCAUUAUGGUUGACCUCGGAUCAGGUAGGAGUUACCCGCUGAACUUAAGCAUAUCAAUAAGCGGAGGAAAAGAAACCAACCGGGAUUGCCUCAGUAACGGCGAGUGAAGCGGCAAGAGCUCAAAUUUGAAAUCUGGCCCUUUCAGGGUCCGAGUUGUAAUUUGCAGAGGAUGCUUCGGGUGCGGUCCCCAUCUAAGUGCCCUGGAACGGGCCGUCAUAGAGGGUGAGAAUCCCGUCUGGGAUGGGCGGCCGUGCCCGUGUGAAGCUCCUUCGA